rnacentral:rRNA from 1 species
CUCAAGAUGAGAUCUCACUGGGAACUUGAUUCCCCUGAAGGGCCGUCGAAGACUACGACGUUGAUAGGCUGGGUGUGUAAGCGUUGUGAGGCGUUGAGCUAACCAGUACUAAUUGCCCGUGAGGCUUGACCAUAUAACACCCAAACA